CCAUUAUCCCAGGGCCUCCUCUGGGCUCCUGGUCUUCGAGUCCACAAUCGUGCCAGGCCGUAGAAUGGGGUCCUGGUCUUCCUGUCAUGGACUAAUUGGGUCAUCCAACAUUCACCCACAUCAACAACCAUCGAUGCAAUGCGGCAUAUUCGUGAAACUAAUGCAAUCACCCUAUUGCAUAAUCAUGAUGCAUGAAACAUGAUAAAACAUUUAAUUUAAAAGAUUAAGUUUAGUUCCACUCACCUCUGGCUGACUCUGACAACACCAAAGCAGCUGAACUCACUGCUGGGGUCCUCGGUUCCUCGGGUCCGAACCUACACAGGUGGACUCAAAUGAGGGACCAA
rnacentral:lncRNA from 1 species